GGAAGACACAGCUAGUGAACCAGAAAGACAGCCCCCUCCAGACGCAGAACCUGCAGAUGCCCUGAUCUUGGACUUCCCAGUCUCUAGAACGGUGAGAAAAUGAAGGCACAGAGAAGACAAUGCUCUCAAGGUCGCGUAACUGACAGGGGCUUGCUCUGUCUCCCAGGAUCCAGGAUGGAGUGCAGUGGCAUGAUCAUGGCUCACUGUAGCCUCGAACUUCCUGCUUCAGCCUCCUGAGUAGCUGGAACUACAGUGCACCGAGAAGCAGUGUGAAGCCAUGAAAAUGCCGCAGUCUCUGUCACAACUGCUCAACACUAACACUGCUGUUGUAUGAAAUUUGCCACAAGCAAUAAAGAAAUGACUGUAGCUCUGUUUCAAUACAAUUUUUGUUA